rnacentral:rRNA from 1 species
UACAGAGGUCUCGAGCGUUAGGCGGAAUCACUGGGCUUAAAGCGUGUGUAGGUGGAUCGUUAAGUGCCUUGUGAAAUCCCACGGCUUAACCGUGGAACUGCUUGGUAUACUGGCGGUCUUGAGCCAGCUAGGGGCUACCGGAACAAAUGGUGGAGCGGUGAAAUGCGUAGAUAUCGGGAGGAACACCAGUGGCGAAGGCGACUUCCUGGCCUGUUCUUGACGCUGAGGCGCGAAAGCUAGGGGAGCAAACGGG